AUUGAACGCUGGCGGCAUGCUUUACACAUGCAAGUCGAACGGGGUGAGGAGCUUGCUCCUCAUCUAGUGGCGAACGGGUGAGUAAUACAUCGGAACGUACCGUGUAGUGGGGGAUAACGUAGCGAAAGUUACGCUAAUACCGCAUACGAUCCACGGAUGAAAGCAGGGGACCUUCGGGCCUUGUGCUAUACGAGCGGCCGAUGUCUGAUUAGCUAGUUGGUGGGGUAAAGGCCCACCAAGGCAACGAUCAGUAGCGGGUCUGAGAGGAUGAUCCGCCACACUGGGACUGAGACACGGCCCAGACUCCUACGGGAGGCAGCAGUGGGGAAUUUUGGACAAUGGGCGCAAGCCUGAUCCAGCCAUGCCGCGUGUCUGAAGAAGGCCUUCGGGUUGUAAAGGACGUUUGUCUAGGGAGGCGAAAACCCAGCAGCUAAUAUCUGUUGGGGAUGAGAGUACCUGAAGAAUAAGCACCGG
rnacentral:rRNA from 1 species